AACGCGUAGGUAACCUGCCUUGUAGCGGGGGAUAACUAUUGGAAGCGAUAGCUAAUACCGCAUAACAAUGGAUGACCCAUGUCAUUUAUUUGAAAGGGGCAAAUGCUCCACUACAAGAUGGACCUGCGUUGUAUUAGCUAGUAGGUGAGGUAACGGCUCACCUAGGCGACGAUACAUAGCCGACCUGAGAGGGUGAUCGGCCACACUGGGACUGAGACACGGCCCAG
rnacentral:rRNA from 1 species